CAUGCGCGCGUUUUCCAAAAUGUCCUCCAAGACCGUGAUUCAGAUGGGAAAUACAAUUUAAGGUUCUUCUUCCAUGUGAUGACAUCAUGUCUGCAAUGAGACCUCAAAGAAAGAAUUUCAAGAACUUUAGGCGAUAAGUGGGACAGAUCUGUUUCUAAAACAGGAUGAAGAAAAAGGUUUGAUGAAACUACAGAAGAUGGCAGUUUUGGAAGGCUUGUAAAUGACUCCACACACCCCAAUUGCAAAGUGCAGUGCUUUGAGGAGGAGGGUCUACCAAGCUUGUAUGUUGUUGCCCUCCGUGACAUUCUGCCACUGGACAGACGCUACAGGUGACUGUGCCAGUGUCAUCUCUCGUGCAGAGAAGAAGUUGUGUAUAAUUAUGGUGCAGGACCAUAUCCAUGGAGGAAAAAGUUCGAAAAGCUGUGACGUUAUAGUAUCCAAGCCAGGCGUGAGACCAGUCCAUUGCCUACUUGAAGUUUAAACAACGGAAAGGACAAGUUUGCUUUAUACACUGAUGUCGGAGCUUGGAGAAAUUCACUUGACUACAUUACCCAGCUCAGGCAGUCUGCAAUACUCAAAGAAUGUCCACGACUAAGAUGUUGAACCAGAUGGCCUACAUCCAGAACUGACGCAUGGAGUUCAAAACUACAUGGAUAAAGGCAGCUACGUUCGAUUCGGCUUAAGGUCACCAUAGUUAGCCCAGACAGCCCUCCGGCACUUUGUCAGAGGACAGAUCAUCUGAGAUGUGAUUGAGAGUCAUGAGGUAACCGCUGUGCAAAUAUUUGGCUCGGAUCUGACAAACCGCAAAAAGUUUGCCUUUUAAAGAGUGUGGCAUAUCAUUCCAACAAGAUGUGCAUUGCCCCAUCACCUUUGUCCAGCCACCUGGCAGAUUCCCUGCGGAGUAGUUGUGUGCUAACUUCUCGGGUUCCAUCACCAAUGAUGGCUUCCCCAAGGCUACAACUACAUACAGAAGAUGAUAGUCAACAUUCAGCUUGUGAUGUAAGAAACGGGCAUUCAGCCGGCGAAUAUAAACCAGCA